GAUGAACGCUAGCUACAGGCUUAACACAUGCAAGUCGAGGGGCAGCAUGGACAUAGCUUGCUAUGUUUGAUGGCGACCGGCGCACGGGUGCGUAACACGUAUCCAAUCUGCCCGUUACUCGGGGAUAGCCUUCUGAAAGGAAGAUUAAUACCCGAUGGCAUGUAUUUCCGGCAUCGGAGAUACAUUAAAGAUUUAUCGGUAACGGAUGAGGAUGCGUACGAUUAGCUUGUUGGCGGGGUAACGGCCCACCAAGGCAACGAUCGUUAGGGGUUCUGAGAGGAAGGUCCCCCACACUGGAACUGAGACACGGUCCAGACUCCUACGGGAGGCAGCAGUGAGGAAUAUUGGUCAAUGGUCGGAAGACUGAACCAGCCAAGUAGCGUGAAGGAUGACUGCCCUACGGGUUGUAAACUUCUUUUGUUUGGGAAUAAAAGACGCUACGUGUAGCGUUCUGCAUGUACCUUACGAAUAAGCAUCGGCUAAUUCCGUGCCAGCAGCCGCCGUAACAC
rnacentral:rRNA from 1 species